UAUACCGUGAAACUGCGAAUGGCUCAUUAAAUCAGUUAUCGUUUAUUUGAUAGUACCUUACUACCUGGAUAACCGUGGUAAUUCUAGAGCUAAUACAUGCUAAAACCCCGACUUCGGAAGGGGUGUAUUUAUUAGAUAAAAAACCAAUGCCCUUCGGGGCUCCUUGGUGAUUCAUAAUAACUUCUCAGAUCGCAUGGCCUUGCGCCGGCGACGGUUCAUUCAAAUUUCUGCCCUAUCAACUUUCGAUGGUAAGGUAUUGGCUUACCAUGGUUUCAACGGGUAACGGGGAAUUAGGGUUCGAUUCCGGAGAGGGAGCCUGAGAAACGGCUACCACAUCCAAGGAAGGCAGCAGGCGCGCAAAUUACCCAAUCCCGACACGGGGAGGUAGUGACAAUAAAUACUGAUACAGGGCUCUUUUGGGUCUUGUAAUUGGAAUGAGUACAAUUUAAACCUCUUAACGAGGAACAAUUGGAGGGCAAGUCUGGUGCCAGCAGCCGCGGUAAUUCCAGCUCCAAUAGCGUAUAUUAAAGUUGUUGCAGUUAAAAAGCUCGUAGUUGAACCUUUGGCCUGGCUGGCAGGUCCGCCUCACCGCGUGCACUUGUCCGGCCGGGCCUUCUCUUCUGGAGAACCGCAUGCCCUUCACUGGGUGUGUUGGGGACCAGGACUUUUACUUUGAAAAAAUUAGAGUGUUCAAAGCAGGCCUUUGCUCGAAUACGUUAGCAUGGAAUAAUAGAAUAGGACGUGCGGUCCUAUUUUGUUGGUUUCUAGGACCGCCGUAAUGAUUAAUAGGGACAGUCGGGGGCAUCAGUAUUCAAUUGUCAGAGGUGAAAUUCUUGGAUUUAUUGAAGACUAACUACUGCGAAAGCAUUUGCCAAGGAUGUUUUCAUUAAUCAGUGAACGAAAGUUAGGGGAUCGAAGACGAUCAGAUACCGUCGUAGUCUUAACCAUAAACUAUGCCGACUAGGGAUCGGGCGGUGUUAUUAUUUUGACUCGCUCGGCACCUUACGAGAAAU
rnacentral:rRNA from 1 species